CAGUAGCCGCGGGAAUACGGAGGGGGCUAGCGUUGUUCGGAAUUACUGGGCGUAAAGCGCACGUAGGCGGCUUUGUAAGUCAGAGGUGAAAGCCCGGGGCUCAACCCCGGAAUUGCCUUUGAGACUGCAUCGCUUGAAUCCAGGAGAGGUGAGUGGAAUUCCGAGUGUAGAGGUGAAAUUCGUAGAUAUUCGGAAGAACACCAGUGGCGAAGGCGGCUCACUGGACUGGUAUUGACGCUGAGGUGCGAAAGCGUGGGGAGCAAACAGGAUUAGAUACCCGUGUAGUCCCUGUCUCUUAUAC
rnacentral:rRNA from 1 species